rnacentral:rRNA from 1 species
AACGAACGCUGGCGGCAUGCCUAACACAUGCAAGUCGAACGAUUGCCUUCGGGUGAUAGUGGCGCACGGGUGCGUAACGCGUGGGAAUCUGCCCUUUGGUUCGGAAUAACCGUUGGAAACGACGGCUAAUACCGGAUGAUGUCGAUAAGACCAAAGAUUUAGUCGCCAGAGGAUGAGCCCGCGUAGGAUUAGCUAGUUGGUGUGGUAAAGGCGCACAAAGGCGACGAUCCUUAGCUGGUCUGAGAGGAUGAUCAGCCACACUGGGACUGAGACACGGCCCAAACUCCUACGGGGGGCAGCAGUGGGGAUUAUUGGAAAAUGGGCGCAAGCCUGAUCCAGCAAUGCCGCGGGAGUGGUGAAGGCCUUAGGGUUGUAACGCUCUUUUCCCCGUGAUGAUAAUGACAGUAGCGGGAGAAUAAGCUCCGGCUAACUCCGUGCCAGCCGCCGCCGUAA